UACGUAGGGGGCAAGCGUUGUCCGGAAUCAUUGGGCGUAAAGAGCUCGUAGGCGGUUUAGUAAGUCGGCGGUGAAAACCCGGGACUCAACUCCGGGACGCCCGCCGAUACUGCUAUGACUUGAGUCCGGUAGGGGAGUGUGGAACUCCUGGUGUAGCGGUGAAAUGCGCAGAUAUCAGGAAGAACACCAGUGGCGAAGGCGGCACUCUGGGCCGGUACUGACGCUGAGGAGCGAAAGCUAGGGGAGCAAACAGGAUUAGAUACCCCCGUAGUCC
rnacentral:rRNA from 1 species